rnacentral:rRNA from 1 species
UACGGAGGAUGCGAGCGUUAUCCGGAUUUAUUGGGUUUAAAGGGUGCGUAGGCGGUCUGUCAAGUUGGAGGUGAAAACUCCGGGCUCAACCUGGAGCGUGCCUCCAAGACUGAAGGACUGGAAUGCCCCUGCCGCGGGAGGAAUGUGUGGUGUAGCGGUGAAAUGCAUAGAUAUCACACAGAACACCGAUUGCGAAGGCAUCUCGCGAAGGGGUGAUUGACGCUGAGGCACGAAAGCGUGGGGAU